GGAGUAUAUCAUACCACCCUGAACACGCCCGAUCUCGUCUGAUCUCGGAAGCUAAGCAGGGUCGGGCCUGGUUAGUACUUGGAUGGGAGACUCUCUCUGUUUUGGGGGAUGUACCAUA
ensembl:rRNA 5S_rRNA 5S ribosomal RNA